CAUGGAAGGUCUCUGCCCAGACCAGGAGUCUCUGUGCCUGGGGCCAGAACUUGCUCUGCUCAAAACAGACUUCUACAAAGAGAAUGACAGAAUGACACAGAGAAUGACAAUGAAAAACAGCAGUUGCUUGAAAGGAAAGCAGACCACUGUCAAAAGAGAAUCCAGUGACGGGCUUGGGGAGGAGAGCGAUGACCAGCACCAGAACUGAGGCUCCCUCAGCUCCAUCUGAGGAAGGACCAGCUGAAAAGAAAUAACUGUCUAACUGAAGACUGAAGAGAAGAAAGGUAUAUGCUGUGCCCAGAACACAGCGAGCGGUGCCUGAGUAGGCAUGUGAAGUGCGCAGAGGGCCUGAUGAUGCUGAGUGUCAGCAACUGUUAACACAACUCUUGGACAAUAAAGGAACCGACUACAGUAACAGGUGUCCAGU